rnacentral:rRNA from 1 species
UACGAGGGGGGCGAGCGUUUGUUCGGAAUUAUUGGGCGUAAAGGGUGCGUAGGCGGUUUGGUAAGUCUUAUGUGAAAUCUACAGGCUCAACUUGUAGUCUGCAUGAGAAACUGCCGGGCUUGAGUAUGGGAGAGGUGAGUGGAAUUCCUGGUGUAGCGGUGAAAUGCGUAGAUAUCAGGAGGAACACCUGUGGCGAAAAGCGGCUCACUGGACCAUAACUGACGCUGAUGCACGAAAGCUAGGGGGAGCAAACAGG